GACGAACGCUGGCGGCGUGCUUAACACAUGCAAGUCGAACGGAAAGGCCCUGCUUUUGUGGGGUGCUCGAGUGGCGAACGGGUGAGUAACACGUGAGUAACCUGCCCUUGACUUUGGGAUAACUUCAGGAAACUGGGGCUAAUACCGGAUAGGAGCUCCUGCUGCAUGGUGGGGGUUGGAAAGUUUCGGCGGUUGGGGAUGGACUCGCGGCUUAUCAGCUUGUUGGUGGGGUAGUGGCUUACCAAGGCUUUGACGGGUAGCCGGCCUGAGAGGGUGACCGGCGAGAGGGGAGAGGAGAAGCGGCCCAGACUCAGAGGGGGGGCAGGGGGGGGGAGUAGGGGAAGGGGGGCGGGAGGGGGAGGCGGCAGCGCGGGGGGGGGGAGGAGGGGCGUCGGUGUGAGGCGGGGUGGCGUCGGGGAGGGAGCGGGGGGGAGGGGAGGGGACAAAGAAGCAGGGGCGACCGACGUGCCAGCAGCGGCUGUAAUAGGCGGAAGAGCACACGCCUGACC
rnacentral:rRNA from 1 species